UCUCAUAUCAGACGUGUGUUAUAAAUGUCCUCCCAUCUCUCAUAUCAGAAGUGUGUUAUAAAUGUCCUCCCAUCUCUCAUAUCAGAUGUGUUAUAAAUGUCCUCCCAUCUCUCAUAUCAGACGUGUUAUAAAUGUCCUCCCAUCUCUCAUAUCAGAUGUGUUAUAAAUGUCCUCCCAUCUCUCAUAUCAGACGUGUGUUAUAAAUGUCCUCCCAUCUCUCAUAUCAGACGUGUGUGUUAUAAAUGUCCUCCCAUCUCUCAUAUCAGAUGUGUUAUAAAUGUCCUCCCAUCUCUCAUAUCAGACGUGUGUUAUAAAUGUCCUCCCAUCUCUCAUAUCAGACGUGUGUUAUAAAUGUCCUCCCAUCUCUCAUAUC
rnacentral:lncRNA from 13 species